UGGGGAAUUUUGGACAAUGGGGGAAACCCUGAUCCAGCCAUCCCGCGUGUGCGAUGAAGGCCUUCGGGUUGUAAAGCACUUUUGGCAGGAAAGAAACGUCAUGGGUUAAUACCCCGUGAAACUGACGGUAUCUGCAGAAUAAGCACCGGCUAACUACGUGCCAGCAGCCGCGGUAAUACGUAGGGUGCAAGCGUUAAUCGGAAUUACUGGGCGUAAAGCGUGCGCAGGCGGUUCGGAAAGAAAGAUGUGAAAUCCCAGAGCUCAACUUUGGAACUGCAUUUUUAACUACCGGGCUAGAGUGUGUCAGAGGGAGGUGGAAUUCCGCGUGUAGCAGUGAAAUGCGUAGAUAUGCGGAGGAACACCGAUGGCGAAGGCAGCCUCCUGGGAUAACACUGACGCUCAUGCACGAAAGCGUGGGGAGCAAACAGG
rnacentral:rRNA from 1 species